rnacentral:rRNA from 1 species
CCUACCGGGAGGCAGCAGUGGGGAAUAUUGCACAAUGGGGGAAACCCUGAUGCAGCGACGCCGCGUGAGUGAAGAAGUAUUUCGGUAUGUAAAGCUCUAUCAGCAGGGAAGAAAUAAAGUCCUUCGGACUUUGGACGGUACCUGACUAAGAAGCCCCGGCUAACUACGUGCCAGCAGCCGCGGUAAUACGUAGGGGGCAAGCGUUAUCCGGAUUUACUGGGUGUAAAGGGAGCGUAGACGGCAGCGCAAGUCUGGAGUGAAAUCCCAUGGCUUAACCAUGGAACUGCUUUGGAAACUGUGCAGCUGGAGUGCAGGAGAGGUAAGCGGAAUUCCUAGUGUAGCGGUGAAAUGCGUAGAUAUUAGGAGGAACACCAGUGGCGAAGGCGGCUUACUGGACUGUAACUGACGUUGAGGCUCGAAAGCGUGGGGAGCAAACAGGAUUAGAUACCCUUGUAGUC